GACAUUAUUUUAAUAAGUUAUAUGUUUCUAAGGGUCUAAGAUUUAAUUUCAUACCUGAUUUCUCUUUCUCUUUAGAAGUGGAGCGAAUUGUGAAAGCCAAUGAUCGUGAAUAUAAUGAAAAGUUCCAGUAUGCGGAUAAUCGUAUCCACACAUCCAAAUACAGCAUCAUCACCUUCUUGCCAAUUAAUUUAUUUGAGCAGUUCCAAAGAGUGGCAAAUGCUUAUUUCCUUUUCCUUCUGAUAUUACAGCUAAUUCCAGAAAUCUCCUCCUUGACUUGGUUUACCACCAUUGUGCCUUUGGUCCUGGUGAUAACUAUGACCGCUGUGAAAGAUGCCACAGAUGAUUAUUUUCGUCACAAGAGUGAUAAUCAAGUGAAUAAUCGGCAGUCUGAAGUGCUCAUUGAUGGCAAACUGCAGAAUGAAAAAUGGAUGAAUGUCAAAGUGGGAGACAUCAUUAAAUUGGAAAAUAACCAGUUUGUUGCUGUAUAUUUGUUCCAGGUUUCCAUGAAGCAGCUCCUUGGCCUUUUGUUGCCUCUGAUGGGUUGGAGAAGGGGUGGUCUCAGAGAGAACACAGCUGCGCCCCUCCAAGCAGGCCAUGGGAAAAGGCAUCAAGGAGAGCUGAUUGGAAGAGAGUGCAAACGGGGGUCUAGUCAGAUUAUCAGCUGUUGCCUGGCUCACCUGUGGGUUCAGAUAAGUGUGUUUUCUUGCCUGUUCUUUACUACUGCUGUGCCUCUGCCAGGGAAAUCUGCUUCCCAUUGCUUCUGGAGUCUUCUUUCUUUCUUUUGUUUCCUAGCCCUCCCUUCACCCUCUCUAUCCUUCCCUAUUUACAAAGACUUUAUUUCCAUUUUUCCAUUUCUCAGCAUUUUGUCUUUCCCUUCUUUCUUUUCCCCUGCCCCUCCCACUACCCCUACCCCUUUGGACCUUUUCUUCCUAUUUUGCAUUAUCAAUUAUUCAUUCUAAUCAUUGGUACAUUUUAGGUAUACAAUAUA
rnacentral:lncRNA from 1 species